rnacentral:rRNA from 1 species
UACGGAGGGUGCAAGCGUUAUCCGGAUUCACUGGGUUUAAAGGGUGCGUAGGUGGGCAGGUAAGUCAGUGGUGAAAUCUCCGGGCUUAACCCAGAAACUGCCAUUGAUACUAUUUGUCUUGAAUACCGUGGAGGUCAGCGGAAUAUGUCAUGUAGCGGUGAAAUGCUUAGAUAUGACAUAGAACACCGAUUGCGAAGGCAGCUCGUUACACGAACAUUGACUCUGAGGCUCGAAAGCGUGGGGAUCAAACAGG